ACACCAUACUUGGAUCCAUGCUAAUUUCACAUUCAGUAUUUAGGAGUCAUUCUUCCUUUAUGUCAUUUCUGUUUCACUUUCAUGAAACCACACACAUGCAUAUAGAUUACAUGUAAUUACUGAUUUUUUAUUAUAAUAAAUCCCCAAGAACCACUUGAACAUCUUCAAGUGUGCAUUCUUACCGUUACCCCUCAGUGGCCACAACUUUCCGCAAAUAACUUAUUCAUCAUAUCAAGUUAUAUGUAUUUGUAAACUCCCUGACAACAGAAACAUUCAUCCCCAGAAAAUGACUGCUGUAUGUUUUCUGUGUACCCAGUAAAUGUUGAUGAUGGUGCAGCUCCUGUGUGGACAUGCUCUGUUACAACAAGACAACACAGAGCCAGAAGACGAAGCCGUAACAUAGGCAGCAGUUGCUGUUGAAUGACCGUGCUGACCUCCAAGCUGAGCUAUGGCAAGGCAGUGAACACAUCAGUGGUUUUGGACCAACCAGCUCUCCAGCUGCAUCACUGAAUCGGUGGAACUGCACAAACUACAAGUCUGCUGUGCCUCAUGCAUACUCCCGGUCGACCACAGUGCAAGAUUUAACUACUUAUAACAAGGGACAACAUGGCAUCCCCCACAUCCUU